UGGGGAAUAUUGCACAAUGGGCGAAAGCCUGAUGCAGCAACGCCGCGUGAGUGAUGAAGGCCUUCGGGUUGUAAAGCUCUGUCUUCUGGGACGUUAAUGACGGUACCAGAGGAGGAAGCCACGGCUAACUACGUGCCAGCAGCCGCGGUAAUACGUAGGUGGCAAGCGUUGUCCGGAUUUACUGGGCGUAAAGGAUGCGUAGGCGGAUACUUAAGUCAGAUGUGAAAAUCCCGGGCUUAACUUGGGAACUGCAUUUGAAACUGGGUAUCUAGAGUGCGGGAGAGGAAAGUGGAAUUCCUAGUGUAGCGGUGAAAUGCGUAGAGAUUAGGAAGAACACCAGUGGCGAAGGCGACUUUCUGGACCGUAACUGACGCUGAGGCAUGAAAGCGUGGGGAGCAAACA
rnacentral:rRNA from 1 species